GGAGGUGUGGCAGAACGGUAUUGCAGCUCGUUGCUAGCGAGCCGCCGCCCGCGCGCGGCUGGGGGUUCGAAUCCCUCCACCUCCGCCA
rnacentral:tRNA from 1 species